UAACUGGGACACAGGCUUUCUUCUUGCUUUCACACUCCAACUGAUACAUCAGUUCUUUCCAAGUCUCUAGUCUGCUGGCCUUUGGACUAGAGCUUUACCGUAGACUCUCCUGGUUCUCAGGCCUUCUGACUGAGAUUGGAACUAAACCAUCAGCUCAUCUGGGCCUCCAGCUUGCUGACCUGCCCUCCAGUUCUUCAUAAUUCCAUGAGGUUAUAACAAUGAGAACCAAAGAGUGGUUUACUUCUGGUUUCCUAUUUAAUUUUCGAUACGGUGAAGGCAGAGACUGUUGCUCUCUUUAAAGUUAUCCAUGGGACAUGCUAGAAAGGUUUGUGGAAACUAAGCUAAUAAUCACCCUUCUGGAAGAGGUUAAUUUUGGUCUUAAAAACAAGAAGUAAGUAUGCAUCACACAUUGAAGGAAAGCUGUAGCUUAGUAUAUGCAUUAAAACAAUGUAAACUAAAAGCCAAAUUAUUUUACUCCUCUGAAAAUUCAGACAAUCUGGAGUUUCAAAAACGUUUUUAUUUGAUUGUCUUGAUCUAUAUGAUCAUUUCACACAUCAGUAAGUGAUGCUUUCAUUUUUUUAAAGUAGCAUAACUAUCCGAAACCUGGAAAAUUUCAGUAACACUAAAAAUAAACCAGUUAAAUAAACAUAGGGACAUUUUCAAAGAUAGUUUGGGACAUAAAUACUUUAAAAAUCUACCCCACCUGCAACUGUGAAGUAUUGAUUCUGAGGCUUUUCAGAGUUAUGCACUAUACAGUUCAUACUGUAAUAUGAAUUAAAGGGGCUAGGAGAAUAAUGGCACUAGUUUUUUUAUAAGCUGAUUUUUAUGAUAUUAAUAUAAUUUCUUAGAAAACCUUCAACUCAACUGCAUAAGUUCCUAGACAUUAAAUGCAAUUUUUUUCAACUAUCAAAUUACAGACCAUGUAUUUGUAAAAUCUAAAAAGGAAUAAACUUUUGUGUGUUA